CUCCCAUUCGUCUAAUUGGACAGGACACUUGACUACGGAUCAAGCAAUGAGGGUUCGAAUCCUUUGUGGGAGGCCA
rnacentral:tRNA from 1 species